CUUGGCGCAGGCGCCUUCCCCGCCUUCCCGAUCGCACGCAUGCGCUCUGUACCCGCCGCAUGCUUCCUGGUGGCGUGGUGGGUGGCGUGUUCGUCGGUUGCUUCUGUGGUACAGGUUCGCUGCCUCACGUAGCGCACAUCGCCUUGCACAGCGCACAACUGGUUCUACCGGUUUCUGGGACGAAAACUGUCUCAACCCCUUUUCUCUGGGUUGAUGCCAGAACUUUAGGAACAGCCUCAAAGGAUUCCAGUCUUGACCACCCACAAAAGUAGUCUUUUGUAAACACGAGCAUGUGUGGGGAUUUAAAAAAACAAAACAAAACUGGAUCCUGAGAUUCUCCGAUAUUAACUUUGGAGAUGAUAACAUUGUGUGGCAAUGUAAAAAGGUUGGCAGUCCCCUUAGGAUCAUCUCUAACACCUGUAGUAAGCCUUUUAGUUGCAUGUUUGGGAAGUUUGGGUGAUUUUGUACAGACUUGGGCGGUUUGCUCUUAAGUUUUGAAACGGUUUUGAUGAGUUGCGCGUUGUAAGGGUCUAUGAUUUGCUGAAGCAUGAUACCCCGGACUCAAAUAGUAUGUAAGCGCAAAGAGUGUUUUAUAUUGCAUGCUUGGGUCUCCUAUUACCAAGAUAGAGAGACAAUCAAAUAUGCUCGCAGUCCUGAUUUACAGCACGUUAGGGGAAUUCUAGGUUAGAUGGGCUUUGCCUUACUCUAUCGCUAGGCAUUCCAGAACCAUUACCUUGGCGUGUUGGCUGCAAACAAUUGCUGAGGAUUCCGGAGAUAGUUGGCCUUACCUUGCUCUCUUCUGAAACUACUGUGUCAGGGUGUGAGGGCUGAAACUGUUGUUGACCCAUUUUCCUUGCUUCAGGCCAGGUAUCAGGUCAGUUUCUGAUGGCAGGGCACUUUCUGGCUAGCUGCUUGAAGCCUGCAGAUUUUAGGCCUAAUCUGAACUGACAAUUUGAAGCCUGUCAUGGAGUUAACCUCUCUCAUCAAUGUCACAAUUACAAUCGUGAAUUUUCAGAAGGAUCAGAUCGGUUAAAGUGUGAAAUUUACAUAGGUAUUUUGUGGGAGUAUUUUUAAUAAGACUCUCAACUCUGUGUCAAAACAUCCCAUAAUAGAUUAAAAACCCCUUGGAGUCUAUUAACUUAGCCCACUAACUUUUACCAACCAAAUAGCCCAGAUAGUGUCUUGGGCCUGUAGAUAAGCUUCUUUCUCCCUUCCCGAACCUGCCUGUCUAAUGUACCCACCAAUAUAUUUUGGACUUGCCUUGAUUUAUGCUUUUUUUUUGUUCUGUAAAAUGAUUUUUAAAAACUUUAUGAAACUGUUUCCACCUGGGAAUCUGAAUUGAAGGUAACCUAUAUAUCUGUGUUCUGUGGCCAUUCAGGGUGAUUCCAGGAUAAACUGUCUCUUUUUUCCUUUAUGAUGAGAGCUAUAGUUUUUGCAUAGACAACACAAAGGUUGGUUCUGGAUUUAGAAAACUGGGCAAAACUGACAAAUUAAGGUUACUAAAAUAACCAUAAAGUGAACUUCAAAUUCAAUAUCUUAAUACUAUCAGUGUGCCACUAACUGGGCUUCACGUCGCUAGUAGGACAUACAGACAAAGACAGCGUGCAUCUCCAAAGGAAAAUUCUGUAUCCUUUGCCUUGUAGAUUGUGAGAAUGAGAGUCAUUACCUGGGAAUUAGUCACACUGUGUGUUGAGCUUCAGGGAUCUCCACACAAAUAACUCAGACUCCUGUCUCAGUUAAGCAAGAAUAGUUUAUUGAAUGCACACCCCAAGACCGAUUGAUCAGGGUCGAAGCCCAGGCUCUGGAACUAAGACUGGACCUUGAACCUAUAAGGGCCAGCUUAUAAAGGAAAACCACAGUGACCACACACACAGCCUGGCAGGGAGGUUGGCUCUGAGUCAAGCUAGUCUGCCUAGCUAGACAGAGCAGUUCUAACUGACUGACUUACAUUCUGAUUGGUCUUAAGUGGACCUUAUGGUUGUGGGAUUUCUUAAGCUUAACACAUCUAAGAAAAUACAGAAAGUAACAUGGUGUGUGGGCAGCAUGACCCUGCUGUGAGCCAAGAUAUUUUUCUGCCUCACUAACUGGCAGGCGUGGAACAAAAUGUCUACAGCUCUGCUGGGAGAGAAGGCUUCAACAAUGUACCGGAGACAGAUUAUCUCACAUUCAUGGGCUAGAAGUGACCUGCUUUUAAUUAAUAUUUAGUGUUUACAAUCCUUUAAAAAAAUUAAAUGAACUGCUGAUUCUUCCAGAGGUAGAUCAUGCAUCCACCGGCAAGGUAAGACCACUUUCUAAUUAUUGACAUAGGACUGAUAAAACUUGAAUUUAUUAAAAUAGAAGUAGCCUGACAUAAGGUGAAAAAAUUUUGAAGUGUUUCCAAGUACCCCUGGUACUGAACUGAGUUUGAUGCCUGUGUGGGUGUUGGUUUUCUUGAUCUAUCCAGGAAGGAAGGGCUCUCCUGGGCACGAGGUGAGGGACGUCCACGUGCAAGUAUUGUUCCUCUGGGGACAGUAAUUGCUGCAAUUAGACAGGGUCGUUUAUGUCAAAUUCAGUUGAAGGAUCCUUCACCCCUUCAGACUUAGCUGUGUUGGUUCUUGGCUACUCCACAUAAUGGAAGUGAAUGGAGAGCAUGUCGAGGAGGGAAUGCUAUGCCAACUGGUUAAAAGCUCGAUUGAAAAAAAACAAGAAGAGAUUUCUCUGUGUCCAAACUGAAAGAUUUUUUAAUGUUUUGUCUAGCAUAUUGGCUUGAUUUGUGCCACUUUAUUUUUAUUUUUAUUUUUACAAAUUUGCUAUGUUGUUAGGCUGGCCUAGAAUUCCCUGUCCUCUUUAGGUAGUAACAUAGGUUCAGACCCAAAUGACUAUGGGCGUUAACCCUGGGAGAAAGAGCAUCCACUGAGCUUGCCAGAGGGAACAGUCCUUACCCAACACACAGAAAAAUCAGCCACCUACAACAGUCAAAAAAAAAAGAUCCACGUCUUUCUGAGAAAGCUUCCCUUCCCUUUUGAGCUGUGAAACUGGGAAACAGUAGAUGGCUCUUAAAGAUUCGUGGUUCCUUGAGUCUUCUCCAAUCCUCUGGAGUGGGUUAGGAAGAAAAAAACCCCAACUUUCUCACCACUACCACAACUACUACUCUGUCUUUACAAAAGAAUAGUCAUUUGUUUGUUUGUUUAUCUAUUGUAGCCAGGGUACAGGCCAGACCACAUGUAUGGAGGUAAAAGACAACUUUGCGAAGUCGAUUACGCUCUUCCACUUGUAUGAGGAGCCUAGAGAUUGAACUUGGGUUGCUUGCAAGGCAAACACGUUUACUGGCUAAACUGUCUCUCCAGCCCUACUCCACGUCUUGCCCAAUCCCAUAUUCACAAGCCGCAAAACCUGGAUCUCAUGUCGUAGAACAUGCACAAGACUUCUACCAGUAACUUGUCUAACCUUCCUGGCAAAGGGAAUACAUCCUUGCCUGGCUUGUAUCCACUUUGUGUCUUCCCUGCAGAGUGCAGGCUGCCCUUUAGCAGGGAGUUGCCAUUUUACCAUCUUGGCACCAUCUACAGUUCCUCAGACAACACCUUGAAAAUAGAAGGCAUUCAAUAUUUAUUCGAUUUUAUUUUGUUAUAUCCUGUUAGGAUUGCCUAAAGCAGUCCUAGUCAAACAUACUUUUUACAAAUCUCUUUUAAACAUUAUAGUGUAAUAAAUAAUACCACAGGAUCUGAUGCAACUGAUCUGUCAAUCUUGGCAGGGGUACUUUCUGAGGUUUACUUAAGUACUAGUAGUUAAUACAUAUUAAUUCAGUCCUUCCCUUUACACAGCCCCUUUUGAAUAAUUCAGAGAAUCAAACCUAGCAUUCAGGCUUCUCAGCAAGCGUUUCCCACUGAUUUACAUCCUUAACCCUUAAUUACUUUCCUUCUUUAGCUUUACUAAUACUUUCUGACUACCUACAGUUUUGUCAUUGUCUAGAAAGCCACAGAGGCAAUAGUCACACGGUUAACUGAGAGCGCCGAUUGAGCACAUCAAAAACAGAGCUCUGAGAUUCUUCAUAAUGGCUUGUGUAUUUGGACUCCUAGGCAGAAUCCUCUAUCUGUGAGCAAGAAAUGUAAUCUCUUCCCUCUUUCUCCUUCCACAUGUACACCAUAUAGACUGCUACCACAAGAACACAGUUUGCCCGCAUUUAGAGUUCCACACAUGAUUAUAUUUCAAAAUAAAGAAGGUGCCUUGGUAAGUUUUACAGUUUAGAAACAGUUACAGUAUGGAAAAGCUAACCUAAUGGGCACUGAUAAGAAAGGUGCUGAAACUCACAGCCUGAAUUCUCUUGAUGCUAAUCAGCUAAAGUAUCAAUGGAUUGUUUAUGAAGGACAUUGGAGAGACAGUCACUAUGAAGAGACACAUACUAUUCCAUGAAGUUGCACGGUAGGUAGUCUUGUAAAACCACAAAACAUUGACCUGACCUGGAGUAAGAAAAUGAAUGCCAAGAUGAUAAUUAAACUAUUAACUAGAACUGCACUUCUCAUAAAUAUAAGAAAUGUCAAUAUACUUACAGAAGUUAUGUCUAGAAAAUGGAAUCACUCAUGAUUUGAGUCUCUGAACCUACGUAUGUUCUCAGUGAAAAUGCACUCACCACAAGUUGGUUUGGGUUCUUUGUUGUUGUUGGGGUUGUUUGUUUAUUUGUUUGUUUUUUGGUUUUUUGGUUUUUGGUUUUGUUUGUUUUAGUCAGAAAAUAAGCCAAAGUUAUCUAAAACCAAAUUAGUUCAGUAUUUCUCGUAUCAGAUUUCCUGGCACUGGAGAGAUAACAAACAUCAGGGAGUUUUUAAUGAAUUUUAACACCUUUUCAGGCCAAACUGUGUGAGGUUCAGGGAUUACCCAAGGGUAAAUAUGGAAGAAAUGGCUGUGCAGAAGCCAGUAUCAAGCCUCUGCUGGUAAAGUGUACAUUCUUAAUUUAUAUCUUAAACUACACCCUACCUACAGCAGGAAGAGGGAGAGGGCGUGGGUGUGUGAACCAAGGCUACAGUGAGGGAGCCAACAGAGACAUGGGCAAAUUAUCCUAUAGGAACAGCAAGCAAGCUGGAACUGGUCUGUUCUAGUAGAUACAGCGUGUGUUACACUGUUUCGUUAAGUAGGGGCCAUUAUAAUCUGUCUCCACACCUGGCUUUAUGUAAUACUGGGAAAUAAAGCCAGCACUUCUUCAACACAUGCAAGGAUUCUAGAAGGCCUCUCUAGCCUUCUCUGAUAAACACCUAAAGAAAGAUAUAUGCCAGUCUUUUUCAAACUCGAAGAAGAAGAAGAAGAAGAAGAAGAAGAAGAAGAAGAAGAAGAAGAAGAAGAAGAAGAAGAAGAAGAAGAAGAAGAAGAAGAAGAAGCAGCAGCAGCAGCAGCAGCAGCAGCAGCAGCAGCAGCAGCAGCAGCAGCAGCAGCGAAGGAACCCUUUCUGUCUUGUUCUGUCAGACAGAGACUCUAACCAAGCUGGAUAACGUCACAAAGAAAGCAGAGGUGCCUGGACAUCCAUGUUUAAUAGCAGCUUUGUUCACAACAUAGUGUCCACCAAUAGAUGAACAAAAUGUGUAACAAUAUUAAUAUACAGUGAAAACCAGCCUCGAAGGAUACUCUGUUGCAUUACAGCUUAGAUCACCACUAACGAUAUUAGGCCAAGUAAUAUAAGCCAGUAACAAAAGAGAAAUACUGUAUAACUCACUUAUUUAUAGUAUCUAACUGAGUCAUUUCACAAACAGUAAAGAUAAGGAAGGGAUAAUCUUGUGUAAUGGGUUUUGAAUCACAGUUGUGCAAGAUGAAAAUGUACUGGAGAUUGUUUCUUUAUAGUGUGAGUGUGUUAGAUAAUGCUAAACUGUACGUUGGGAAACAAAAUUAGCAUGUGUAUUGUGUGCUUCUACCACACUGAAAUAGGCAUUACCCAGUCUCAGGAAUUAUCUAUUAUUAUUGGUGUGUGUGUGUGUGUGCGUGUGUGUGUGUGUGUGUGUGUGUGCGCGCGUGCAUGCGUGUGCAGAAAACACUACAUGCUCACAUUUCAAGGUGCAUGUGCAGAGAUCAGAGAGAGGACAACUUUUGGGAAGUAGCUCUUCCCAAAAGCUCUUCUCUCCAUGAGCUCCAGAAAUUGAACCUAGACUGUGAGAUUUGCAAAGCUUCAAACAUCCUGCCCUAUUCUUUUAGGCAGUCGUGAGUGCUUUAUUAACUGGGACUGUCAGGAGUCCAUUCACUCUGGUAUUUAUGUCAUAAUAGCAUUCCUUAUUAGCGCAAAAGGUGAAGUUGGAGGGUGCUGAUAAAGAGAGAGUGGGAAAGCUUGGGCGGCAUGGGGACUUGGGAGGUGGAUGACCACACACCCUCUAGCCCUAUGCUCCAACUUCGAGUGCUAGACGUGGUUAUCAACAUGGAAGCAGGAGGCUGAGGACCCGUGGCUGGAUCUCAGGGAGGCCAUCUACCUGCUUUAGGAUCAGAUUGAAGCAGACCAGACUGACUGCUGCUUCUGGGAACAUCUAUGGCUGUUUUGAGAAAUGCCUUUCAUUUACUGCCUGAAAGCGUGGGUAGACCAGAAGAGCUUAAGCACUGCUGGGUUGGAUUCAGAAUGAGCCGGCAAACCUUGACCUAAGUACACAGAACGGAGUUCUGAAUCGGGGGUUUCAUGUGAGAGGAAACAAAGUUUUUAUAUUAGAAGUAAGUUACAAACCAAGUGUGGUGACUCGUGCCUGUAAUCCCAGCAACUCAGGGGGCUAAGGCAGGAGGAUUGCUGUGGGUCUGAGGCAAGGCUAGCUAGUGAAUCUACACAUUUGGAGGAUCCUUAGAAUCUAAAAGAAAAACAACAAACGCACUUCUGUCUUCUGCCCAGUGUUUUGGGUGGUCUAAGAGGACAGUGUGCUCACUUAAGUUGGAGCACUAUAUCUCUGUUUUUAAGGUUGGAAAGAUGUUUCUUGCUCUGGGAGGGGGAGGGGGAGGUGGAGAGGGAAAGAGAGAGAGAGAGAGAGAGAGAGAGAGAGAGAGAGAGAGAGAGAAGAAAUGGACUUUAAAUGAGUGUGUAGACAUGGAUAUAGGUUUCUUAUUUAUCCAUGAGAAGAGCUGUAAAAUUGCUUCAUAAUUUCCAUGGAACCUAGGUAGUUGUCCAAACAGUUUUCUUUUCAUAAAGUGAUCCUUAUUGGGGAUGAAGGGUCCUCUAUCGAGAGCCAUUUUGCUGCUUCUGUGAAAGUCUACCUGUCAGGCAGAGUCAAGACGGGUCAGGGUCCGCUGGAAGAUUUCCUGGCCUUGUGAGGCAUGGAACCAUAGAGGAGGUGCACUUGAGGCUCAAGGUGAGUGUACAUGGCAACAGUUGCUUCUGCUAGCUUGUGGCUUUUUUUCCCUCAGUACUGUGGAGUAUAAAAAAGCUAUGCAAAAUCAACUUGGAGCCGCUUCAGUAUUUACUGUCAGCCCUCCCCAAUCUCUCUCCCUCUUCUUUCUGCCUCUCCUAUCUUUAGUCCUUGCUCCCCUCUCAGGUACUGUUUGACUUGUGUCAGCCAACUCCAGCACAGUCCUCCCUAGAAGACUGAGUCCCAGUCAGGUUUCUAUUGCUGUGAUAAUGACCAUGAUCUUGCUCUUCUUGCUUGUUCAAACUGCCUUCUUGUAUCCUCAGGACCACCCGCUCAGAGGUGGCGGAGCUGAUGCCCCGCACCCAACACACAUCAAUCUUCUGUCAAGAAAAUGCUUCCAUUGGCAUGCACAGGACCUGUGCGUGCUGUCAUAACCACAACAGGCUCCUAUGUGCAGCUGCCCAGUUGUAUCUGGGGACGACUGUUUCCUUGUAUUCAUCCACUGGCCUCCGGUUCUCACAGCUCCCCAAAGCCUCUUCUGCAGUGAUCUGUGCACCUUGGGAAGAGAGUGUAGAGUGUAGACCAUUCAUCCGGGGCCGAGCAUCCAGCGCCCUUGCUCUCUGCACGUGGCCAGCCUGCUCAUCGCUGUCACUGCAUACUUUUCUGAUGAAGGUUGAGGGAUCCAUUAAUCUGUGUCUCCUGGCCGUGUGGGUAGUAGAGCUAUUUGGUUUUGAGACAGGGUAGGAGAAGUGAAAUGGCAGAGAGCAGGGAAUGAGCUAUUCUCAAUCUGCUCUGUAUGACACCAGUAGAGGGUCUGACAGGAAGAGCACAGGGCUUGGAGUCAUGGACUCAGGGAAAUUUUGAAAUUUUGCUCAUUGCACUGGGUGAGGACCUAGGCUCUAUAAAAUAUGAAUAGCUCAAUUAAUACUGCCUUGUGAGUUGGGGGUUGAGAGGUGUAUAGUAGAAACAGUUCUAUGAAACAAACAAGUCUCUUCAUUUCUUUUUUUUUUUCAUUUCUUCUUUUAAAAGAAGUAUUUUAUCUUAUGUCAUAGGUCAGAACAAAUCCCAGCAUGGAGAGGAAGGUGGACACUAAGCCCCAUCUCCAGGAGGAGCUGUUGGCAUCUGAUAGCCACUGAAGAAUGUAGGUCGGUUUUAACAAUGUACCUACCAGUUAAACCAUCCUCCAGUGGAAGGCCGCACAUCCAAGAUAUCGAUAGCUCAGAUCGAACUCUGCCUCUACCUCCCAAGUGCUGGGAUUAAAGGGAAUUGAAAGGAUGAAAGAAAGAAGAACCCAUGAAAUAGCCCAAAACCAGCUACAUGGCCGCCUCUCACAGAACUCUCCGAAUCAGUGUUUACUAUCCGCCAUGUGAGGAGAGAUCAAAAGCCAAAUGCUAGAGUUUGAGAAGACUGCCUGGACUCCUUUCCAAGACUGGGCUUGGCAGCGUGCAGGGGUGUCUAGAAUACAACAGAAAGGAUGUUUUCCUGCUUCUUAAUGAAAUCGAGAUUUUUAGAGCAUUCGCCAUACUUAUUAUUCAAAAAUGUCAAUCUCCUUCUUUUCUUUUUUCCCCUCUUCUGUUUUCCUGAAAUGGUUUUGCUGUGUAGCUCAGUCAGGUCUUGGACUUUAGAUCUUCUUGUCCCUGUUCCCAACACAUAGAAUUCCAGGCAGGUCCGCCACGCUGCAUGACCGUGGCUGUGGAAGUGUGGCUCCUCCAUGGUGUAAGUGUAUCCUGAGGAUGGGUUCUCUUUAAACAAUGUAGGGAGCAGGUGCCCUAAGUGCCUUAUAUCACAGAGAGCAAGGAUAGGCUUGCAAUAUCACAGCUCCUUACUAUCCCAACUAAUUGAUUUCUCACAAAUAUCACACACAUACAUACCUUUCAUAUAUGUGUGUGUGUAUCUCUCUCUAUAUAUAUAUGUAUAUAUAUAUAUUUCACAUCAUACACACACGCCUUUUCCUUUACAUCCAGUUUAAUUUCACUCUAUCCUCUUCCAACCUGUUUCAACAUUGAUAUCUACCAUCUUAUCUCUCUCUAUCUUUGCUACAGAUUGCACUACCUGGAGUUAUCUGCUGUCUACACCUAUAUAAUUUUAUCUGCCUCCUAUUACUGAAAACCCCCGUAUGCCAUCAUCUUGAUGGACCCCAGAUAAGCCACGUCUCUCUGGCCUUCCAUUUCCCUAACUCCACGCUCUGCAUCAAUACCUCAUUGCUUUGCCACCUUCAACCCAACACUGUCCUGUGCUGAGUCACUGCUCUCACACACCGUCCAGUGCAGGCUGCUGCCCAUGGCUUUGUCAUCUCGGUUCCUUCGUUUUCCCACACAGCAUCAGCUCAUGGUUCUGUAAGAAAAACAUUGUUCUAUCUCUAUAAAAGGUGUUCAGUUUCAGCAAAAAGUCAUAUUUUCUGAGCUCUCCUCUUUCCGUUUAGCCAACUGAGGCAGUUAGUGAAGUCGAGCUCUUGCCAAUGGCAUGACAUAGAGUUACCCGCUAGGGCAGGGACAAGAGAUGGCAGCCAUCAUGGUCCUGUGUGCUUGCUGGCCAGGUUUGGGCCCCAGCACACCCAUUUUACAAAUAGAAUUGCCUUGGCAAGCCACUUUUACUUUGUUUGAUUUGUUCAUGUGUUGGUUCCUGUGACUCAAGAUUAGUGUUGGCUUUUAGCAGUCUGAAGAAAAUGUCAGUUAGCUGUUCCCCCUCAAGCUAGAGCACCUUCUGGGUUUAUCUGCAUUCUCUCUCCUAAUCAAUUGCCAAUAAAAAACAAACAAAACAACUUCUUCGAGCUUAUUCCUGAUGAUGGUGUUAUUAUUACACAUUCAUAGUUUCUGGUCCCCCCUAAUCAUCUGCCUUGCCUAGCAAGACUUCUAUGUGUUUUUCUGCUUUAUAACAAGGUGUGCCUUUACUCAUUUUGUAGCCUUUUACUCUUUCCUCAGAGAUGACCCAGGGGAGGAAAGGGGAAGGAAUAAACCCUCUCGCUACUCUACCCUAACUUUAUACCUUCUUGGUUUUAAAGCUACUUGUUUUGUCUGUCUUAGUUCUUUCUCCCAUUUCUGUGUUAAAAAAAUGUAUCCAUUUCCAUCCAGAGGACAGACUGUCGGUGUUUGAUCAUCUAGUGUGUCGAGGCAUCAGGAACUAUAUACGACUAUCUUCUAUGGUACAAGGUCCUGUUUUCCCAGCAUAAUAUUUUGACUCCUCACCUACUUUGCAGCUUGACCAAGGAGUUCCUAUCUGCAGGCUCACCCAAAGAAAUGUAAUUGAAGAUAGAUGGCUCAGAACCUAUCUAAAUGGCAGGCUAUGACCCGGGACUCUGACUCCUUAUGAAGUGAGUCAGGGCUUCGUACUAAGUUCCUGGCCAUCAAGGGCAUAGUUGAAACUUUAUCUCAAAAUAAAUAAAUAAAUAAAACAAGCAAAAAUCAAUCCAUCAACAUUUUCUUAUCUUUAGAAGUUCCUGUGUGUGUGUUUCAUUGUACAUGUGUGGUAUAUGUACUUGUUAGUGCCUAUGUGUUUGCAGAGCCGGGUAGUGAAUGACUUUGGUCAGCCAUUUUUCACUAUUUUUUUUUUUUGAUACAGAGACACUCAUUAAACUUGAAAACUCCCUGAUUUGGCUAGACUGGCUGCCCAGUGAUCUUCAAGGCUUAUAGGCAUACACUAUCAUGUUUGACUGUUUAUAUAGGUCUUGUAGAUCUAUGCUUUCAUGGCUAACAAUUUACAAGCUGAGCAUCUCCUGAGCCCCUGCUUUCUUUAUAUUUUUUUAAAAAUAGAAAUACAGUCUAAUGAGUGUGGGUAAUUUAGAAAGUAUAAACAUACUUGAGGAGCUCAUUAUUGGGUGGAGCUAGUCAGACAUUAUAAACUUUCUGGGAAAUAAAAACUAAAUUCAGAUGCUAGGAAAAAGACUAUAUAAACAAAACCUCUUGGUGAGUGCCCUAGGUUGCUGUCCUGGGUGACAGUGGGUGCCUGCUUGUGCCUGGAAACUAUGGCUCUGCCACAACACCUGAACACAGCAUUCCCUCUGGCUUAGCUCAUCCACUUGGGAGGCCAACCUUUGAGACAGGCGAUCAGUCAGACUUUGAAAUUUGCUCCCAGUGUCUCUUUCAAUCAAAAUAUGCCUCUUAAAUCCUUUUCCUGCUAGGGGAACAGACUAAUUUAAAUGUGAACACUUUCCUUAAUGACUUAAAUUGACCCAAUAAUUCCCCAAUUAAAAAUCAAAAACCCACAAUUUAUGGGGCUUAAUUUGAAAUGGAAAUUAAUGUUUUCUUUACUCUUUCUUAUAUCGUGUGUAUACGUGUGUGUGUGUUUUAUGUGUACAUGAGUUUGUGCAUAAUUGUGUGUGUGAAUAUAGUUGUGUGCCAAAACACCUGCUUUGCCCUUGAGUAGUAUUUGGCUUUGUGUGGUUGUGGAGAUUUGAACUUUAGCACUUUACAUUUGCAAGGCAAACAUUUUACUUGCUGAGCUAUCUCUUCAGUCUCUAAUUUUCUUCUUUAUCUUUCACUAAGAGGUUUUCGUUUUCAGUGAAAAUGCUCAAUUUAAGCCAGGCUGUGGUGGCAAACACCUUUAAUCCCAGUACUUGAGAGGCAGGUAGAUCUCUUGAGUUGGAGGCCAGUCUGGUCUACAGAACAAGUUCCAGAGCUGCAUAGAAACACACACACACACACACACACACACACACACACACAUACACACACACACAUACACACACACACACACUCACACACUCACACACGCACACACUCACACUCCACCCCCCCAAAAAAACGACCAAAAAGAAAGAAAAAGUUAAAUUUAAAUUAAACUUGUCCAUCCAUCUAUCUUGUGUUAAGGAUAAUAAACAUCAAUUUUUAAAUACUAGUGAUUGAUCUAUUUUAAUAGUUAAACUAAGGACUCUGAGCUAGAACUAUUCACACUUACAAAGGCAACACUUAUGCAGAAGGCCCCGAACACACACUAUGUAUGUAAAACUAAAGAAAAUAAUGUGUUUUGUUAAUCCUGUCAAUCAAGAAUAAGGUGACUACUAUAAUUUUGAGGCAAAUUUGAAGGAAGCCUUCAUUAAAACUCUCCAAGAUGAUGGACUCUGGCCAGGUUUAUUCCUAGGUUCCCAGAAAAUGGCGAUCAGUCACAUUCUGCAGAGGCUUAUAAAAGCAAACCCAUAGGACACCAUAUUUCCCAUCAGGUCCCAUCGUAUGUCCUGAGGCAGGAAUACAUCCUGACAUACUUUCCGCCUGCGUGCCUCCCCCCAUGUGACCAAGCACAUCUGGUGUAGUCGGGUCAAAAAAACAUGUGGCUUGUCACACCCGUAAACAGCAGCGUACGGCAUUUCGGGAAGUAGCUGUCUUUGGACAAGGGGUUAGCAGGUUAGAGGCAGUUCUGUUUCAUGGAUCUCUUAGGCACAGUAAUUAAGACUUAAAACAUAACUUUUUUGGCUCUCACAGUCCAUGAAUGGAGUAUGUGAGGAUUCUGAGAGUUUGGAGAAAACUCCAAGAAAACAAGAGUCCUGCGACCUCUGUUCCUUCUAAACAUGGGUGGUUCUUGUACCUUCCGGCCCCUCCCAGGUAUGGUCAAUAGGAGUGGGUUCACUUCAGAUUACACAACAUCUACUGUUACUGUUCAGAUAUUGCCAAAGGGAUUAUCCUCGCAGCUGCAUGCAGCCUAAACCAAUGUGACCUUUGCUCAUCUGAUCUUGCUUGAUCCUCAGGAUACUCUCAGAAUAAAUUAUCUGAUGCUCCAAGUAAAGUUGGCCACUGCAUGAGAUUUUAGGCUGCUUCAUUUUCAGGCCAGAUUCACGCCUCCGACUAAAGCAGUAACCAUGGGUUACUUAUCUUUUUGGUCAUCGGCACCAACUACUCUGCCCUAAUGCCUCUCCCUCAGAGGGCUAAACCUUGAGAGCGGCUCUGAGUCAGUUUAUCCUAUAGGUUCCAGUGGAUUGGUUGUCAGUGUAAACAAAUGUCCACCUUCCGGUGCAGACUAUUGGCUUUGUUAGAAAAAAAGUAAGGGCCUCAGACCAAGAAUCCUCUGUUUUCUUUGUUAAUGGUAAUUUUAUUACCCUUCAGGUAUUAGGAGGUAAAGAGGAUUAUGUUAAAUUUUAUAUCUCAUUGUGUGUUUUGUGUGUGUGUGUGUGUGUGUGUGUGUGUGUGUGUGUGUCGUCUGUCUGUCUGUCUAUCUGUCUCUUAGUGGCUUAAUGAUCUGAGUUGUUUUUUUUCCAGUUUGGAAAAAGUUUGGAAAACAUGUUUUUCUAGUACUAAGGAUUAAACUUGUCUUGCUAUUGAAGUAGUCUUAAAAGUGUUAUGAAAACAUUGUAAAGGCUGAAGAACCUAAGCUAUAGGUUCCAAUGAUUUUGAGUGGUCAAUAAUACUUCUGGAACAUAUAUUUAAGGCCCUUCUGCCCGCCUCGUUCUGUACACACGGUCUGCAGUGGUCAGCUGGGCAACCCUGCUCUGUCAGUGCUGUCUGGAAAGCUGCCAGCUUGGUUUGGGUUAGACAAACUGUAAUGUAGCAUGUGUUAAGUCUCAAAGACCUGGCACAAAUGCCUGAGGUGCCUACUAACUUAACAGCAGACCCCCCUCCCAUCUGCCCCCCAUCCCCUCUCUCUCAACAUCACUCAAUACCUGUAGCUCCCCCCAGGACUUUUACCCUCCACCCACAACCUUCCCCUUCCAGGGGCUGGGCUUCUGCUUCCCCCCAGUCAGCUUCUCCUCCCUGAAUAAUUCUUAGCCACAGACUAUCAGUCUCCAUGUGAUCUCUUGGUUCUCUGGCCUCUUGGUUUGUUCUUGGCUUUUUGGUCUAGGGCUUCUCUCUUGAUCCUAUGUGUGCUCCUGGUCCAGGAGCUCUCUUGGCCCUUAAUCCUUGCCUCCCAGCUUCUUCCUCCCACCCCACACUCCUCCUCUCGUGGCCCAGUCAAUCUAUUGGCUUGGUUCAAUCUGGAUCCUUCCAGAUGCCUUUGGCUAUUCUCUCCCACAUAUCUAAAAUAGAUUCCUUCUCCUCCUCUUCUUCUUCCUCCUCCUCCUCCUCCUCUACCUUGGAACAGUCAUGUCCUCAUUUUUUAUUCAGCAUCUACACAAAAGAAACUUUCAUAGAGCUGCUUCUGCCUGGGAUACCAUGGUACAUUUACACGGUGGAAUAUUAUUCAGCUAUGAAGAAAGAUGAAAUAAGUAAAAUUGCAGGUAAAUGAGCACAGUUGGAGAUACUCUUCCUGAGGGAUGGAACACAGACCCAAAAAGACAAGUGUUGCUUGUUUUCUCUUAUGUGUUGGUGUUAGCCUUUAAGCUUUAGAUAUGUGUGUGUUUUAAUCUGAACAACAACAGAGGUUAGGAACCUAGUAAAGGAUCAAGGAUGAGGGAGAGGGGCAUCUUCCAAGGGGAAAUAGAGUAUAGUGUUGCAAAGAGACAAAGGUAACAAGAGUAGGAGGAUUAAGUGGGGAAGAGGGAGGGAGGGCAGGGUAAAGUAAGCACUAUGGGGAGGGAAAAAACACUAAAGCCCUUUUGAAAAGCCAUAUCAAAACCCACUGCUCUAAACACUUCAUAAAAUACAUACAUAUCAAAAAGAAAUUUAAAUGGAAUCACGAUAUAAUGUGGAAGAUAAUGCCUAACUAGAUCUCUUACAGGCCAAGUCAAACCCCCAGAGCCAGGAGUGAGUUAAAUCUGAUGAGUCUUUAGCCAAAGAAGUCCCACAGCUGUUCCCCCAAAACAUCACAGACCUUUGCCAGAGCUGGUGAUGACUCCUUAUAACCUUAUGGAGUCCCCACUGCUUGGUAAAAGUCAUAUUUGUUCAGAAGGCCAACCCGUUCAACGACAGCACUGCCACUAAGAAGACCUCUUGCUGCUAGAGAGUGGAACAGUGAGAAUAAACUUCUAGGAGUCAACGCCUGACGAACACACCUAUGGCCACUUGACCUCUGACAAAGGAGCCAAAACCAUCCAAUGGAAGAAAGACAGCAUUUUCAGCAAAUGGUGCUGGUUCAACUGGAGGUCAGCAUGUAGAAGAAUGCAGAUCGAUCCAUGCUUAUCACCCUGUACAAAGCUUAAGUCCAAGUGGAUCAAGGACCUCCACAUCAAACCAGAUACACUCAAACUAAUAGAAGAAAAAGUGGGGAAGAGCCUCGAACACAUGGGCACUGGGGACAUUUUCCUGAACAGAACACCAAUGGCUUAUGCUCUAAGAUCAAGAAUCAACAAAUGGGAUCUCAUAAAACUGCAAAACUUCUGUAAGGCAAAGGACACUGUCACUAGGACAGAAUGGCAACCAACAGAUUGGGAAAAGAUCUUUACCAAUCCUACAUCUGAUAGAGGCCUUAUAUCCAAAAUAUACAAAGAACUCAAGAAGUUAGACUGCAGGGAGACAAAUAAUCCUAUUAAAAAAUGGGCUAAAAAGACUAUACAUGGACUGACCCUGGACUCUGACCUCAUAGGUAGCAAUGAAUAUCCCAGUAAGAGCACCAGUGGAAGGGGAAGCCCUGGGUCCUGCUAAGACUGAACCCCCAGUGAACUAGAUUGUUGGGGGGAGGGUGGCAAUGGGGGGAGGAUGGGGAGGGGAACACCCAUAGUGAAGGGGAGGGGGAGGGAUUAGGGGGAUGUUUGCCCGGAAACCGGGAAAGGGAAUAACACUCAAAAUGUAUAUAAGAAAUACUCAAGUUAAUAAAAAAAAUGGGCUAAACAAAGAAUUCUUAGCUGAGGAUUAUCGAAUGGCCAAAAAGCACCUAAAGAAAUGUUCAACAUCCUUAGUCAUAAGGGAAAUGCAAAUCAAAACAACCCUGAGAUUCUAUCUCACACCAGUCAGAAUGGCUAAGAUCAAAAACUCAGGUGACAGCAGACACUGGCGAGGAUGUGGAGAAAGAGGAACACUCCUCCAAUGUUGGUGGGAUUGCAGACUGUUACAAGCACUAAGGAAAUCAGUCUAGAGGUUCCUCAGAUAAUUGGACAUUCCACUACCUGAGGACCCAGCUAUACCUCUCCUGGGCAUAUACCCAAAAGAUGCUCCAACAUACAAUAAAGACACAUGCUCCACUAUUUUCAUAGCAGCCUUAUUUAUAACAGCCAGAAGCUGGAAAGAACCCAGAUGCCCUUCAACAGAGGAAUGGAUACAGAAAAUGUGGUACAUCUACACAAUGGAAUACUACUCAGCUAUCAAAAACAAUGACUUCAUGAAAUUCGUAGGCAAAUGGUUGGAACUAGAAAAUAUCAUCCUGAGUGAGGUAACCAAAUUACAGAAAAACACACCUGGUAUGCACUCAUUGAUAAGUGGAUAUUAGCCAAAAAGCUCGAUUUACCCAAAAUGCACUCCACAGACCACAGGAAGCUCAAGAAGGAGGAUGACCAAAAUUCGGAUGCUCCCACUCCUUAAAAGGGGAAAAAGUAUCCAUAGGAGUGGAUAUGGAAGCAAAGUUUAGAGCAGCGACUCAAGGAACGGCCAUUCAGAGCCUGCCCCACAUGUGGCCCAUAUAUAUACAGCCACCAAAACUAGAUAAGAUUGAUGAAGCUAAGAAGUACAUGCUGAAAGGGACCAGAUAUAGAUCUCUCCUGAGAGACACAUCCAGAACAUGUCCAAUACAGAGGUCAAUGCUAGCAGCAAAUCAUUGAACUGAGAACAGGACCCCUGUUGGAGGAAUUAGAGGAAGGAUUGAAAGAGUUGAAGGAGCUUGCAACCCCAUAUGAACAACAAUGCCAACCAACCAGAGCUUCCAGGGACUAAGCCACUACCCAAAGACUAUACAUGGACUGACCCAGGGCUCUAACUGCAUAGGUAGCAGAGAAUAGCCUUUUUGGGGCACCAGUGGAAGGGGAAGCCCUUGGUCCUGCCAAGGUUGGACCCCCAGUGCAGGGGAAUAGGGGGAGCAGUAAGGGGGAUGUAUGGGAG